rnacentral:rRNA from 1 species
CGUGUAGGCUGCCCCGCAAGUCGGGUGUGAAAGCCCUGGGCUCAACCUAGGAAGUGCACUCGAAACUGCGGGGCUCGAGUCCUGGAGAGGAAGGCGGAAUUCUCGGUGUAGAGGUGAAAUUCGUAGAUAUCGAGAGGAACACCGGUGGCGAAGGCGGCCUUCUGGACAGUGACUGACGCUGAGACGCGAAAGCGUGGGGAGCAAACAGGAUUAGAUACCCUGGUAGUCCACGCCGUAAACGAUGGGUGCUAGGUGUCGCGGGCUUUGACCCCUGCGGUGCCGCAGCUAACGCAUUAAGCACCCCGCCUGGGGAGUACGGCCGCAAGGCUAAA